AGAUUAGUAGUUUAUAUAGAACAUUCGAUUGUUAAUCGAAGGGUGAGUGGUUUGUAUUCCUAGUUUU
rnacentral:tRNA from 1 species